AACAAACAAAAUGCGAAUGCGACAGCACGCACCGUGGAACUCCCGGGCCGGAGCGCCGAUGCUGCCGCGGGAAACAGCGCUUGUGCGCGAGUACGGCGACCGGCGGCGGAGCGGGAACCGCCUCUCGUGCUCGAAGCAGUCGGUCAAGUCGCCGUUUGCCGCACCGGGGAUCACCAAUGCCCGCCAGCUGUUCGCUCUUUUGCUCGAGACGAUUGCUCAUGGUUUACGUACCUUGAAGAGAUGUGCGCUGGUGUGCGCAUCCACAGCACUGAAGGGGUCAUCCAAGAAGUAAACAUCAGAAUCGCUGUACAAUGCCCUGGCAAGCUGGAUCCUCUGCUUCUGGCCUCCACUUAGGUUCACACCCCUUUCCCCUACUACAGUCAUAUCUCCAUUGGCCCAUAUCUCCAAAUCUCUAUCCAAAGCACACCCUUGUAGCACCUCUUCGUAUAAGCUUCUGUCCAUAGCCUUCCCAAAGAGCACAUUGUCCUGAAUUGUCCCAGUUUGAAUCCACGCACUCUGAGGGACAUAUGCCCUUGAUCCGACAACCAUUGGUUCUGCACCGCUAACCCUUGGAAUCUCUCCCAUGAUGCUGUAAAGGAGGCUUGAUUUGCCUGAACCAACUGGCCCGCACACUGCAACCUUGAGACCCUUCCCGAUGCUCACCUUGCUGUUGAUCUUGAGUGUUACCUUUGUUUUCUUCGAGCUAGUAUCAGCUUCCCAACUGUACUCUCCUGGUUCAAUUACUAUUUCACCAGCCAUUGCCAAGUCCUUCGUUCCAUUUACGUUGCCAUGGCAACUUGGCUUACCCUGGUGGUCUUCUUUGAUGAACUCUUCUAUUCUAUCCAAGGACACCUUGGUUUGUGUGACCAUUGACACGAGUUCUGGGAGGUUAUAGAUCGGGUCUUGGAGGAUUCUAAAUGUGGCAAGGGCCGAUAAGACUGUUCCAGCUGACAAUGGUAUCUCCACAAGAAUGCAGACACCGAAGGUAACGACCGAAACCAACGUUGGUGAGGCCCAGAACAGGAAAGCUAUCGCUGAGCACGUGUAGAGAUACUUCCUGAGCCACCCCUUUUCCACAUCCCUGAGCUUCAGAAGCUUGUCCAAGUAGGCUGUCUCCCAUGCAUGAAGCUUCAAGAUCCUCAUGCUCCUCAUUGCCUCGGCCAUAGCCUUGAUGCGCGAGUCCUUCGCCUCCAUUAUCUUCAUAUUAAGGUUCUGCUGUGAAUUUGCCAGUGGUGUGUUGCUCACCAUCACCAAUACUGUUACAAGGACUGCAGACAGCGAGGCCAUUGCACCAAGACUGCGGUACAGGAUGGCAAGUGCCAAGAAAAUUUGCAAGGGCAGCAACCAAAUCCCAUGGAUGUACCAGAAGAACUCACCAACCUUCUCGACGUCAACAUCAAGGAAGUUCACAACUUUCCCGGCAACUGGGCCCGAGUUCUUCAUCAGCAGGGACUUCUUGUAGAUGGACACCAUCAGCGCUGCCCGCACCUGGAAUCCAAUUCUGCGGGCGCCAAAGUACCACUGCCGCUGUGAGAGUGACUCCACUGUCUUGGAGGCAAAGAAGAGGCAUGCAAGCAUGUAGCCAUGGCCAUGGCCCUUGCCAGUGUUCUUGUCGGCGAGUAGCUCCACCAAGUAGGUGAUCAAGAAUGGUCCCAUGUAAGAAGAAACAGUGUUGAGCCCUGGUAACGAAAGACAGUUAAUGUAUUAAUGGAUUGCCAGGACAAAUAUUAGCUCUAUUAUUGAAAAAGAAAAUGAACUGUUCACUAACCUGCAAAGACUGCAUUGGUGACCAGAGGUGUCCAGACAGCACAAAUGAUGGCUUCCCGCAGUGGGAUUGGCUCAGGUUUCUGCUUGUGGAGUGUCUCCUGAAGCAAGGCAUAAGACUGCUCUGCCAUCUCGGACUGCGGCACAGAUGGGAUGUGUUCCAGCUCAAGCCUCACCUUGUGCCCCUUCUCGAAGACUGGGUUCAGCCAUCGGAAUGUGAGGCGACUCCACCACCCCGAGCUAGAGAACCUGUCCCUGCUGCUGUCAUCAACGUUCUCCCUCAGCAGCAGCGGCUGUUCCAGCUCUUUCUGGUUUGCUUUGGAAAGCCUCAUAGCUACUACAACCAGACAGAUGACGGCGCAGAAGGGAAGAGAAGCGAAAUCGACGACGGCAGUUGCAGAAUCAAAGAGGCAAAGCAAAUGUAGCAAGGCGAGGAGCGAUUCAGAUAAGAAGCUGAAGAACCACCAAGAAACAAGAACCGGAGGCCAGUUGGAUGACACUACUACCCCUGCAGCACCUUCAUGCUUGUGGUAGAGCAGGAAGAGAGUAGCCAGAAACCACGAGGAAGAUUGAAAUACCAGGCCCGGGGAGACGGCUUGCCGCUUCCAGACCCCAAGAACCGAGAACCCGAUAUGGGACAGCGUGAUCGAAGCGUUGCAGAAUGCAACUAUACUGGCUGCCCCUCCUUGCUGCUGCGCCGAGACCACGUCGGCGCCAUACCCUGCCGCUGCUGCUUCUUGGUGCCUGUUCCUCCGUUUCACAAGCUCUGCGAGGGUCCAAACCAGCAGGACGGCGAAGGCUGCCGCCCGGACGUAGUCCAAUGCUUGCAAUUCCUCCAUGGGAUGCUGGGAAUCAUGAGAAGGUGGCAUGGAGCUGUGGAACACCAAGAUGGCAACGAACUGGCCUGUUACAUUGAGGCAGGAGACAGUGAGAGACAAACUUGGGCAAAAUAAGCUAAGCAGUGCGUAGUGGGAGGGGACGGGCGCUAACCAAAAGUAGAGCCUGACUGACAGCACGUGGCUUGGCUUGAGAGGCUAUGUACGCGUACUCGGGAUCGGCAACGGCAUCAAGCCUUGCUAGUGUUUAAUGCCGACCUAAAACAAGGAAGAAGAGAGAAUCAAAGGGCAUAUAUAUUGAGGUGGUAUUAGGUUUUGCAGCAUGCGUGCAUCUUGAUUGGGUUUGUUGGCUGGCAUCUUAGGUUCGACUCUUUUGGCAUAUAUAAGCAGGAAGAAAGGUUGGUAUCAGUGUCCGGAUAACGAAAGAUGCACCAACUAGGCAACUAGAGCUGGUCGCGGCGUGGAUGGAGUACACCAACUAUUGUUCUUAUCAGCCAGCCCCAAAGCAUUUGGAAGAUGGCCCUAUAUGAUAAACAAACACAAAAGCGUCGGAGAUAAGUCAAGCCAGAAAUAUAAAAGCAUUUAGAUCACUAUUU